AUUGAACGCUGGCGGCAUGCUUUACACAUGCAAGUCGAACGGUAGAGGGGGCAACCCCCUCGAGAGUGGCGAACGGGUGAGUAAUAUAUCGGAACGUGCCCAGUCGUGGGGGAUAACGUAGCGAAAGUUACGCUAAUACCGCAUACGAUCUACGGAUGAAAGCGGGGGAUCGCAAGACCUCGCGCGAUUGGAGCGGCCGAUGUCAGAUUAGCUAGUUGGUGGGGUAAAGGCCUACCAAGGCGACGAUCUGUAGCGGGUCUGAGAGGAUGAUCCGCCACACUGGGACUGAGACACGGCCCAGACUCCUACGGGAGGCAGCAGUGGGGAAUUUUGGACAAUGGGCGAAAGCCUGAUCCAGCCAUGCCGCGUGAGUGAAGAAGGCCUCGGUGUAAG
rnacentral:rRNA from 1 species